rnacentral:rRNA from 1 species
CCUACGGGGGGCUGCAGUGGGGAAUAUUGCACAAUGGGCGCAAGCCUGAUGCAGCCAUGCCGCGUGUGUGAAGAAGGCCUUCGGGUUGUAAAGCACUUUCAGCGGGGAGGAAGGCGUUAAGGUUAAUAACCUUGUCGAUUGACGUUACCCGCAGAAGAAGCACCGGCUAACUCCGUGCCAGCAGCCGCGGUAAUACGGAGGGUGCAAGCGUUAAUCGGAAUUACUGGGCGUAAAGCGCACGCAGGCGGUCUGUCAAGUCGGAUGUGAAAUCCCCGGGCUCAACCUGGGAACGGCAUUCGAAACUGGCAGGCUAGAGUCUUGUAGAGGGGGGUAGAAUUCCAGGUGUAGCGGUGAAAUGCGUAGAGAUCUGGAGGAAUACCGGUGGCGAAGGCGGCCCCCUGGACAAAGACUGACGCUCAGUGCGAAAGCGUGGGGAGCAAACAGGAUUAGAUACCCUUGUAGUC